rnacentral:rRNA from 1 species
AUUGAACGCUGGCGGCAGGCCUAACACAUGCCAGUCGAGCGGAUGAAGGGAGCUUGCUCCUGGAUUCAGCGGCGGACGGGUGAGUAAUGCCUAGGAAUCUGCCUGGUAGUGGGGGAUAACGUCCGGAAACGGGCGCUAAUACCGCAUACGUCCUGAGGGAGAAAGUGGGGGAUCUUCGGACCCCACGCUAUCAGAUGAGCCUAGGUCGGAUUAGCUAGUUGGUGGGGUAAAGGCCUACCAAGGCGACGAUCCGUAACUGGUCUGAGAGGAUGAUCAGUCACACUGGAACUGAGACACGGUCCAGACUCCUACGGGAGGCAGCAGUGGGGAAUAUUGGACAAUGGGCGAAAGCCUGAUCCAGCCAGGCCGCGUGUGUGAAGAAGGUCUUCGGAUUGUAAAGCACUUUAAGUUGGGAGGAAGGGCAGUAAGUUAAUACCUUGCUGUUUUGACGUUACCAACAGAAUAAGCACCGGCUAACUUCGUG